AAACCAGCACCUCAAGUGGUCAGGAUGAUUAUUGGGCCUAAAGCAUCCGUAGCCGGCUCUGUAAGUUUUCGGUUAAAUCUGUACGCUUAACGUACAGGCUGCCGGGAAUACUGCAGAACUAGGGAGUGGGAGAGGUAGACGGUACUCGGGAGGAAGUGGUAAAAUGCUUUGAUCUCUCGAUGACCACCUGUGGCGAAGGCGGUCUACCAGAACACGUCCGACGGUGAGGGAUGAAAGCUGGGGGAGCAAACCGGAUUAGAAACCCGAGUAGUCC
rnacentral:rRNA from 1 species